AUGUAUAAUAAUAAGUGGAAUAGGCUACUUAUGUUAUAUACCCUUCUGAUCUUUUUCUCUUUCAUUUGCCUUGUUUUUGUGUUCAUACUAAUGUCUGGAAAUGGUUCCAAUGCCGUUGGUGGUUUCCUUUUUGCUCAGCAGCUGAUUGACCACACCGCUGAUGAUGGGUUGUCAAGACGCGCUGGACUUCUGCAAUGUUGCUUGGAAUUUUUUUAUUGCUUGCAAUUUAGUAAUGGUUUUGUUGACUUAAUUUUUAUGGGGUGGCAUCAAGAACAUGUUAACUUGAUGAUCAACAUCACGAUUUAA